rnacentral:rRNA from 1 species
GAUCAUGGCUCAGGGUGAACGCUAGCUACAGGCUUAACACAUGCAAGUCGAGGGGCAGCAUUUUAGUUUGCUUGCAAACUAAAGAUGGCGACCGGCGCACGGGUGAGUAACACGUAUCCAACCUGCCGAUAACUCGGGGAUAGCCUUUCGAAAGAAAGAUUAAUAUCCGAUGGCAUAUCAGUCCCGCAUGAGAUUGAUAUUAAAGAAUUUCGGUUAUCGAUGGGGAUGCGUUCCAUUAG